rnacentral:rRNA from 1 species
AUACGGAGGAUGCGAGCGUUAUCCGGAUUUAUUGGGUUUAAAGGGUGCGUAGGCGGAGGAGUAAGUCAGGGGUGAAAUGCCGCAGCUCAACUGCGGAACUGCCUUUGAUACUGCUUUUCUGGAGUUCGGAUGCCGUGGGAGGAAUGGGCAGUGUAGCGGUGAAAUGCAUAGAUAUUGCCCAGAACACCGAUUGCGAAGGCAUAUCACAAAUCCGGGACUGCCGCUGAGGAACGAAAGCGUGGGGAUCAAACAGGAUUAGAUACCCUGGUAGUCCACCCAGUAAACGAUGAAAACUAACCGUCGGCGAUAGAAUGUCGGUGGCCAAGCGAAAGCAAUAAGUUAUCCACCGGGGGAGUACGUUCGCAAGAAUAAAACUCAAAGGAAUUGACGGGG